rnacentral:rRNA from 1 species
UACGUAGGCAGCAAGCGUUGUUCGGAGUUACUGGGCGUAAAGGGUGCGUAGGCGGCCCUGUAAGUAUGGUGUGAAAUCUCCCGGCUUAACUGGGAGGGUGCGCUAUAGACUGCGGGCUCGAGUGUGGGAGAGGAAAGUGGAAUUCCGGUGUAGCGGUGAAAUGCGUAGAUAUCAGGGAGGGAACACCCGGUGGUGUAAACGGCUUUCUGG